rnacentral:rRNA from 1 species
GGUUGAUCCUGCCAGUAGUCAUAUGCUUGUCUCAAAGAUUAAGCCAUGCAUGUCUAAGUUUAAGCAACUAAACGGUGAAACUGCGAAUGGCUCAUUAAAUCAGUCAUAGUUUAUUUGAUGGUACCCUACUACAUGGAUAACUGUGGUAAUUCUAGAGCUAAUACAUGCAUAAAAAUCCCGACUUCUGGAAGGGAUGUAUUUAUUAGAUCCAAAACCAAUGGCUUCGGUCUUACUGGUGAAUCAUGAUAACUUCUCGAAUCGUAUGGCCUUGCGCCGACGAUGCUUCAUUCAAA